AUGGUGUCUAAAUCCAACUAUUGUAAAUGGAAUUGUUUUCUAAAAGUAAAGAAGAGCUUGGAUUUAAAGAAAUCCUGGAGUCACUUUUCUCAGCUAAUAAACAGAUUCAAUAGCCAAGUUGGGCCAGCUGAAUUCGAUAUAUUCUCUCCUACUUGA
rnacentral:lncRNA from 1 species